rnacentral:rRNA from 1 species
GAGUUUGAUCGUGGCUCAGGACGAACGCUGGCGGCGUGCCUAAUACAUGCAAGUCGAGCGGAUCUUCAUUAGCUUGCUUUUGAAGAUCAGCGGCGGACGGGUGAGUAACACGUGGGCAACCUGCCUGUAAGACUGGGAUAACUUCGGGAAACCGGAGCUAAUACCGGAUAAUCCUUUUCCUCUCAUGAGGAAAAGCUGAAAGACGGUUUCGGCUGUCACUUACAGAUGGGCCCGCGGCGCAUUAGCUAGUUGGUGAGGUAACGGCUCACCAAGGCGACGAUGCGUAGCCGACCUGAGAGGGUGAUCGGCCACACUGGGACUGAGACACGGCCCAGACUCCUACGGGAGGCAGCAGUAGGGAAUCUUCCGCAAUGGACGAAAGUCUGACGGAGCAACGCCGCGUGAGCGAUGAAGGCCUCGGUCGUAAAGCUCUGUUGUC